CAGGGAGUGAUGGAGCCGUGCGGAAUCCAUUGCAGGAGGUGGAGCAGUGUCGUGGCCAUCACUGCGGCCUGUCAGGGAGUGAUGGAGCCGUGUGGAAUCUGUUGCAAGAGGUGGAGCAGGGUCGUGGUUGUUGAUGCGGCCUACCAGUGGGCCCAGGCCUAUCGGCCGAAGUCCGACUGGAGUGUCUGGCUGGGAGAGGUUGCUAGCCACCCGUCUGAGAGGAGCUCGGAGUCCAGCUCCCGUAGGAGUCCGGAUGAAGUCUUCUUGCAGUCGGAGUUGGGGACGAGACCCGAUUCCCAUAGGAGUCUGGGUAGAGUGUUCCUGUAAUUUAAAUCAGGUGUGAA
rnacentral:lncRNA from 1 species